UACGUAGGGGGCAAGCGUUGUCCGGAAUCAUUGGGCGUAAAGCGCGUGUAGGCGGUCCGGUAAGUCCGCUGUGAAAGUCGGGGGCUCAACUCCGGGCCUGCAGUCGAUACGGGCCGGCUUGAGUGCGGUAGGGGAGACUGGAAUUCCACGUGUAGCGGUGAAAUGCGUAGAGAUGUGGAGGAACACCGAUGGCGAAGGCAGCCUCCUGGGCCAACACUGACGCUCAUGCACGAAAGCGUGGGGAGCAAACAGG
rnacentral:rRNA from 1 species